rnacentral:rRNA from 1 species
UACGAAGGGGGCUAGCGUUGCUCGGAAUCACUGGGCGUAAAGCGCACGUAGGCGGCUUUUUAAGUCAGGGGUGAAAGCCCGGAGCUCAACUCCGGAACUGCCAUUGAAACUGUGAGACUUGAGGAUGAGAGAGGUGAGUGGAAUUCCCAGUGUAGAGGUGAAAUUCGUAGAUAUUGGGAAGAACACCGGUGGCGAAGGCGGCUCACUGGCUCAUAUCUGACGCUCAGGCGCGACAGCGUGGGGAGCAAACAGG